GGCACCUGUCACGGUGCACGCACUCACUCAUGAUCCGACUCAAACAAUCAUGAUCACAUUCCUGUAACAGUCCAGCAGAGGUUGGAUAAGUUUGCUGUUUUCAGUCUCCAUCAUCUUCUGAGGCUCCAGAUGCUAAAUGAGUGUGUCAGCUGCAAACAGAUCUGAAUGAGGAACACAUCUGAUAUCAGGAGCGGUCACAUGUGCCUGCUGAAGUCCACUGAAAAGGAACCAUCCACAUGUAUGGUGGAGGACUGCUACAACAUCCUGUGGGAGUACAGCUUCACCAACACGGGACAGAAAUAUUCAAGGGAAAGUGAGAAGAUGAUAAUACAGUGGUUAGUGUUGUAACAUUUCUAACAAAUGUGCAGUUAAUUAAAACUGACACAUAGUGAAACUGGGACUGUCUGGACUCCACUGGGUCAGUGCUACACUAGUAAUUGUACUCAUCAUGUAGAAUGGCUGUUUUCAUACAGGCUUCAUUAUGAGAUUAUUAUCACUGAUGCAUUAAGAUAUCAGCACCAUUUUUAUUGUGAUUGGUUGAAGUGAUUUGAAAUAUAUUAAGUGAUGGAGAGUUUCAAUGUUGACUGAAGCAAUUAAAGAAAAAAAACUUCAAGAGUGACUCAUUUCACCUUUCAUUUAGCCCUCUGAGAAUCUCAUAUAAAGACUUGAUGAAACAAAUAAAACAAAC